CCUACGGGGAGCAGCAGUGAGGAAUAUUGGUCAAUGGACGAGAGUCUGAACCAGCCAAGUAGCGUGAAGGAUGACUGCCCUAUGGGUUGUAAACUUCUUUUAUAUGGGAAUAAAACGUUCCACGUGUGGGAUUUUGUAUGUACCAUAUGAAUAAGGAUCGGCUAACUCCGUGCCAGCAGCCGCGGUAAUACGGAGGAUCCGAGCGUUAUCCGGAUUUAUUGGGUUUAAAGGGAGCGUAGGUGGAUUGUUAAGUCAGUUGUGAAAGUUUGCGGCUCAACCGUAAAAUUGCAGUUGAAACUGGCAGUCUUGAGUACAGUAGAGGUGGGCGGAAUUCGUGGUGUAGCGGUGAAAUGCUUAGAUAUCACGAAGAACUCUGAUUGCGAAGGCAGUUCACUGGACUGCAACUGACACUGAGGCUCGAAAGUGUGGGUAUCAAACAGGAUUAGAUACCCGGGUAGUC
rnacentral:rRNA from 1 species